CCUCGGCUGUCUUUGGGAGGCAACUGGAACACCCGAAGAAACCCUUGCAGUCACGGGGCGAAUGCACAAAUUCCUUGUUGACAGCAGCGAGAAUUGAACCGGGGUGGCUGGUCCUUUCACCACAUCAGUACAAAGAGGGAGGGGGAAGAGGAUACAGAUUAAAGAGUUACAAUCACCGAGGAAGGGCAGUGCAGGCAGAUGAAGCUCAAGAGGACCACAACCUUCUGGUUAUGCUUGGAGGCUUGCUUGCCUCAAUGAUCCGGAAAGCUAUGUUAGCUGGAGUCAGAGCUUCAAUUGCAAACAAGAGAAAACCUGCAGAUGCUGGAACUCCAAGCAACACGCACAAAAUGCUGGAGGAACUCAGCAGGCUGGGCAGCAUCUAUAGAGAGAAUACAGAUGAUGCUUCAGGCUGAGACCCUUCAGCGGGACUGCAGAAAAAAAGAUGAGGAGUGGAGUUAAAAGGUGGGGGGGGGGGGAGGGGAGGGUGAAACUCAAGGUGAUAGGUGAAACCGGGAAGGAGAGGGGUGAAAGAAGAGUUGGCAAGUUGAUUGUUGCCAAGAGAUACAGGGCUGGAGAAGGGGGAAUCUAAUAGGAGAGGACAGAAGGGCCUGGGGGAAAGAAAAAGGGGGAGGAGCACCAGAGCUGGGCAGGCAAGGAGAUAAGGUGAGAGAGGGAAAGAGAGAUGAGGAAUGAUGAAGUUUGGGGGGGGGGGCAAUUAUCGGAAGUUUGAGAAAUUGAUGGUCAUGUCAUCAGGGUGGAGGCUAUCCAAACAGAAUAUAAGGUGGUGCUCCUCCAACCUGAGAGUGGCCUCAUCGCAACAGUAGAGGAAGUCAUGGAUAGACAUAUGGGAAUGGGAAGUGGAAUUAAGAUGGGUGAUAACUGGGAGGUCCCACUCUUUCUGGCAGAUGUAGCAUAGGUGCUUGGUGAAUGUUCUUCCAAUCUUUGUUGGGUCUCACCAAUAUACAGGAUGCCACACCGGGAUCACCAGACACAGUAUAUGACCCCAACAGACUCUCAGGUGAAGUGUUGCCUCACUUAGAAAGACUGUUUAGGGCUCUGAAUGAUAGUGAGGGAGGAGAUGUAAGGGCAUGUUCAACACUUGUUCCACUUGCAAGGAUAAGCACCAGGAGGGGAAUCAGUGGAAGGGAUGAAGGACAAGGGAGUUACAUGCAAAAUGCAGAAAGUGGGAGGGAGGGAAAGAUGUGCUUGGUGGUGGGAUCCAUCUCCAACAAGAUUCAUUUUCAAAGACUCUACAAUCUGGUCUCAGUAUUAGUUAUUUACUUAUUUAUUCUUUUUGUCUUUGCAUAGUUUGUCUUCUUUUACAUAUUGGUUGUUUGUCAGUCUUUGUAGUUUUCAUUGAUUCUAUUGUAUUUCUUUGUUCUACUGCGAAUAUCUGUAAGAAAAUGAAUCUCAGGGUAGUAUAUGGUGACAUAUACAGUACUUUGAUAAUAAAUUUGCUUUGAACUUUGAA